rnacentral:rRNA from 1 species
GCAGUCGUACGAGAGUUUUUAACUCAAGUGGCGGACGGGUGAGUAACACGUGAGUAAUCUACCUUUAGGAGGGGGAUAACAACUGGAAACGGUUGCUAAUACCCCAUAUGCUUUCGAGUGAAAUGGAUUUAUCCGCCUAGAGAGGAGCUCGCGGCUGAUUAGCUUGUUGGUAGGGUAAUGGCCUACCAAGGCGACGAUCAGUAUCUGGUUUGAGAGGACGAUCAGACACACUGGAACUGAGACACGGUCCAGACUCCUACGGGAGGCAGCAGUGGGGAAUUUUCCGCAAUGGGCGAAAGCCUGACGGAGCAAUACCGCGUGAGGGAAGACGGCCUAUGGGUUGUAAACCUCUUUUCUCAGGGAGGAACUCAAUGACGUGUACCUGAGGAAUAAGCAUCGGCUAACUCCGUGCCAGCAGCCGCGGUAAGACGGAGGAUGCAAGUGUUAUCCGGAAUCACUGGGCGUAAAGCGUCUGUAGGUGGUUUAAUAAGUCAACUGUUAAAUCUUGAAGCUCAACUUCAAAAUCGCAGUCGAAACUAUUAGACUAGAGUAUAGUAGGGGUAAAGGGAAUUUCCAGUGGAGCGGUGAAAUGCGUAGAGAUUGGAAAGAACACCGAUGGCGAAGGCACUUUACUGGGCUAUUACUAACACUCAGAGACGA